AGAGUUUGAUCAUGGCUCAGAUUGAACGCUGGCGGCAGGCCUAACACAUGCAAGUCGAGCGGAAACGACAACAUUGAAUCUUCGGAGAAUUUGUUGGGCGUCGAGCGGCGGACGGGUGAGUAACGCCUAGGAAAUUGCCUUGAUGUGGGGGAUAACCAUUGGAAACGAUGGCUAAUACCGCAUAAUGCCUACGGGCCAAAGAGGGGGACCUUCGGGCCUCUCGCGUCAAGAUAUGCCUAGGUGGGAUUAGCUAGUUGGUGAGGUAAUGGCUCACCAAGGCGACGAUCCCUAGCUGGUCUGAGAGGAUGAUCAGCCACACUGGAACUGAGACACGGUCCAGACUCCUACGGGAGGCAGCAGUGGGGAAUAUUGCACAAUGGGCGAAAGCCUGAUGCAGCCAUGCCGCGUGUAUGAAGAAGGCCUUCGGGUUGUAAAGUACUUUCAGUUGUGAGGAAGGGUGUGUAGUUAAUAGCUGCGCAUCUUGACGUUAGCAACAGAAGAAGCACCGGCUAACUCCGUGCCAGCAGCCGCGGUAAUACGGAGGGUGCGAGCGUUAAUCGGAAUUACUGGGCGUAAAGCGCAUGCAGGUGGUUCAUUAAGUCAGAUGUGAAAGCCCGGGGCUCAACCUCGGAACUGCAUUUGAAACUGGUGAACUAGAGUGCUGUAGGGGGGGGUAGAAUUUCAGGUGUAGCGGUGAAAUGCGUAGAGAUCUGAAGGAAUACCAGUGGGCGAAGGCGGCCCCUGGACAGACACUGACACUCAGAUGCGAAAGCGUGGGGAGCAAACAGAUUAGAUACCCUGUAGUCCACGCGUAAACGAUGUCUACUUGGAGGUGUGCUUGAGUCGUGCUUCGAGCUACGCUAGUAGACGCUGGGGAGUACGUCGCAGAUUAAACUCAAA
rnacentral:rRNA from 1 species